CAGGGAUGUACCUCAGUGGUGCCGCCGCCUGCCUCAAAACCGCAAGGUCCUGAGUUCAAUCUCCAGUACCAGAAAAAAGUCAUUAGGGCAGGACCUACUAUGACUAUGAACCCACUGUGACCAGUGUCCUCGUGAAAGGGAACAUUUGAACCAACGUUUGUACCAACAGGCAAGCACACAGGGACCACGUGGAGAGGGAAGGUUGGAGCAGCACAUCUACAACCAAGACAUGCCAAAGAUUCCCAGGAAUUCACACGAACCCGGGAAGAGGUAAAGAAGGAUGCUUCUUCAGUUUGGGGAGGGGUGAUCCUGGGCUGCAAGCCUCCGGCUCAGAGAGAGGGCAAGUCCCCAUGCUCUAGGCUGCUCAGCGGGGCGCUCUGUUACCCAGGCCUGGGUGUGGCAUGCAGGCCCCUCACUGGAGGAAGCACUGCAUCUGGCCCUCCUGAGGCGAGGUGCUGGUGAAGGGAGGUGUGUUAGCUGCUUUUUGAUCCUAAAGGUGCUGAGGAUAGUAAGGUAGUAUCAGUUCAGUAACUUGAGUGACAUGCACUAAUUCCUCCAAAGAUGAAAUCACCCAAACUGACACAAGAAGAAACAAUCUGAAUAGCCCUUUAUCUGGUAAAAAUAAUAACAAAUUGUAAUUUAAAACUUGAAGCCAAAUACUUCAGCAGUAAAUUCUAUCAUACACUUACAAAAGAGAGCUAGAAGACAGGAUUUUGAAAAGUGCCAUAUGAAAUGAUGAGUUUGAGGGAAUAGGUUUAUUUAAUCUGAUUUAAGCAGUACACAAUGUAUUCAUGUAUCGAAACAGCACGUUACCUCAUAAAUAUGUAAAUAUGUAAUUUUAAUGGUUUUAUGUACCAGUUAAAAUAAAUGUAAUUGAUAAUAAAUAAUAAAUGAAACAACAAUAUUUAUACUAUGUAUAUCUUUCUUUCCAUUUUACCCUUUUAUCAAUUGCACAAUGGCAUGAAUGUAUUUAAUACCACUUUAAAUUUUUUAAUUUUUUUUUUUGGUACCGGGUAUGGAACUCGGGACCUUGCACUUGCAAGGCAGGCACUGGAACCACUGAGCUAAAUCCCUGGCCCCCUUAAUGCCACUUUAAAAUGAUUAAAGUGGUAAAUUUUUAUGUUACAUGUUAUGUUACCACAAUAAAAAUGAAUGUAUAGAGCUGAAAACAAAUGUACAGAAUCAAAUGAAGUAAAAAUUACCUGGACUGGAACAGAGCAAGAUGGGGGAAGGAUAGGCUCAUAAAGGGAGAGAUAUUUGUCUUUUGGGGACUGGGCAGAGAUCCAGGAAUUCCGGUGCCCCCUCUUUUUGCAUUCUGCAGUUUUUCAGGUCAUCUUCAUGGUAAUGACCGACUGUCACUGGGAGGUCUGUGAUUCAGCAUGCAGAUGGAAUCACAACAAAGGUAGAGGUUGUCUGGCAGUCAUCGUAGAUUCAGCUGGUUUUGCUAGCCUACCUGAAGAGGAAGUUCUGUCCUCAAAGACAAACAAGAUUACAGUAGGGUAGAAAUUCAGCAGGUCAUCAGCGCAGGAUAAGAUGGGGACAUGCUAACAGCUGAGCCCCUCCAUUGAAGGCCCUCCUUCUUGCAGGGCAGCUCAUGUCCUUGGCUACUGUAACCUGAUUCUUGCUCCUUAAGGUUUGGGGGAGUAAUAGUUUGCCUCUGUGAUUGGUUUCCAAGUGUGUCACACACCCACCCCUUUGCUUCCACGACUGUGUCCACAUCUCUGAAUUGUCUCUUCAUUCACUGGUCAACCUUCAGUUAAACAUGUUAAGACUUCAUAGUCUUUCCAUUUUUCUCAUGGAGCCCCAAGUGAUAAAAUAAUGUAUAUCAUGUACAUUAUACAUAGAAGUAUGUUUACAGUAUGCCAGAAUUGGUGCUGUAUUAGGAAGAGGGGGAGAGACAGACGGACAGAUGGACAGAGACAGAGUGUGGGAGACUGGUUAUGAGAAAUGCACUCAUUGAUUAAAGGCUGAGAAAUCCCACAAUCUGCCAUCUACAAGCCAGAGACUCAGGAAUGGUGAUGGUGUGCUUCAGCCCAAGUCCCAAGGCCCCAAAACCAGGGGAGCCAGUCAUGUAAAUCCUUGUCCAAAGGCAGAUGAGAUGAGCUGUCGAAGCUCAGGAAGGGAGCCAGAAAGCAAAGGGUGAAUUCUUCUUCCCUCCACUUCCUGUUCUAAUCUGGUCCUCGAUGAACUGGAUAAAGCCUAGUGCUGAUGGAUUGGAUGGAGCCCAACAUUCACUGAUGGAUUGGUCAAAGCCCAUCAUUAGUGGACUGGACAGAGGCCAUCACUGAUGGAUUGGACAGAGCCCGUGAUUGAUGGAUUGGAGGAGCCUGUGAUUGAUGGAUUGGUCAUAGCCCGUGACUGAUGAGUCAGAAGAGCCCAUCACAGAGCAAAAUCAUCUGCUUUACUCAGCUCAGCAGAUCAAAUGCUCAUCUCAUCUGGAAAUGCUCUAAGACACACCCAGGAAUAACAUUCAGUCUGGGCACGCUUUCCCCAGUCAGGUUGACUACUACAAUUACCCAUCCCCGGUGGGAUCAGUGUAAAGAGGCUGAAUCUUCUAGGAACACGUGUUUCUCUCUAGGGCAUUAGGAAAAGAUAAUCCACCAUUACCUUUCCUUCCAGAAGAACUUGGAGUCACAGUGAGUUCUCCACCCCGAAAGGUUUUGGUUCUGGCCAGGAUGGCACAAAAGGGACGUGAGGAUCAGCUGAGGGACAGAAAGGGUUGAACUAGAUGCGCAGCCUCCAUAAUCUGUUCUGAAAAGGACUGGGAACAGGCAAGAGACUCGGCUGCUGGCAGUGCAAGGCAAGUGAGCUUAACCUAGGGGUUCCAACAGUCACUGAGGGACGGUGGCAGUGAGGAGGCCUGUGGGGAAUCUGAAUGGGGCCGGAGGACGUGGCAGGGUGCACUGCUCUGGCUUUAUAGGGUCUGCUCCAGAAAAAGCAGAGACAAAAUGAACAUUUUAAAGCUACAGCAGAUUUCACAAAUGGCCUAGAAAACUGAAUGGGAUAAGCCACCCAAUGGCACCCCCUGCAAGGGCAAAGGCGGCCAUGGAGGAUGCUGACCUCCCUGCACCUCUAGGCUCCAAGACUGGGGCCUGAAGCAUUCGUGUCCACCCGCUCCUCAGUUUCCUGUUCCAGACAGUGAGAAAACUGAACCCAGCGUUCUCCCGGAGACUUUCCAGUUCCCACAUCCUGUCAUCGGACAGUGCUAAGGCAUCCACAGCACCACAGUGAACACUCAGAGAUGGGCCGUCACAGCCUUGCUUCUGGGGUGCUUGCCCUGCCUCCUCUUCUCAUCUGUGAUGCUGGGCCAUGGGGGGGGCAAAGGAGACGAGUUUGGGAAGCUUGGCUGCCUGGCACCAGAAGUGCCCUCCACUUGUGUCUGAUGUUAUCUCUCACUCGGGAUUAACAAACUCACGGGGGUGAGGUUUGCACCGAGCCAGUGGAGCAAAAGCCCUUGCCAUUUUUUUCAAAGUUCUUUUUACGUGUAAGCACCAGUGCAUACAUGAAGACUGACUCUGUCACAUUUAUGUUCUAGCAGCACGAAUCCGAUGACUUCGGCAGGCCCCACGGCCAGUUCUGUGUUUGUAUGGCACCCCAUGGUAAUCCCGUGACCCCGGGAGUGCUGUCUCGAGCGCCUCUGUAUCCCGCAAUCAAGUCCACAGGGUUCCUGGGGCCCCUGGUCUGGUGCCUCCCCAGAGGGUCUUGAAGGAAGCCAACAUCUGGGGGGUCCGAGAUACCUUGCUCCACAGCCAAGGAGGGACCCAGGCUGGAGAGGCCAGGGGAAGGGUUGGGAAAUGGAAUUCCACACCCAGCAGGCGGGUGGGAAUGGCCUGGCCUUGCCAGUCCCAGGUCUAUUAGAGAGUUCAGCAGGGAAACGUCAGCAGGGGCCUCAGGACGGCCUUGCUUAUUUUUGGUAAGUGUUUGCAAUGGAGAAACUCGCAAUCAUUGAGAGGAACUGGUGCGCAUACACCAAAUGGGGAUCUUUCCUGAUCUCUGCCCUUGCGGUCCUCCUUCCCCACCUCCAAAACGUCUGCCUCUCUGAGUCGCACCAUCUCUCCUAUAUUUUACUUCUGUAAUGCAUUCACAGUUUGGAUUUCCCACAUAAGAGAAAUUGUGUGACCAUUUCGUUUUCUGCGGCUGACUGACUUCACUCACCAUGAAGGUCUCCAGAUCCGCUGCUUCUCCCGUGGAAGACUGGGAUUCAUUCUUUACGGCUGAGCCAACCACCUGUGUCUGAGCACCAGCGUUCUCCUCAGUUCACCCUCGGGCCUGCACCUCGGCUGCCGCCCGAGCUCAGCCAGCGUGAGCUGCUCGCUUUGAACACGGGUGUGCACACGACCCUGUGGUAAGAAGACCUCAACUCAAGGUGCUGGAAAACCAGGAGCAAUCCAAGCCUUGCAUUCUCUGAGGCAGACAUUUUAGGAAAAAGGGGGAAAAAAACCCCAAAAACGCUGAUGUCCUCGAGCUCUGGAAUAAACUGGGCCCAGCAAGGACAAAACAGGACACAAGGUGGUGUCAAAGCCCGGGGUGAUUGACUGAAGUCUGCCCCAUAGCGGGGGGGGGGGGGGCGGGGGUCCCCUGCAACCAACAACACAGGAAAGAGUUGGCAGCAGCCCCUGAAAGGCCCCCUGUGCAGGACCGGGCAGUGGGGUGAGGGCUUCACUUCCUGGCCGAUGACAGCAAGGGCCCUGACCCAGACCCCACCAUGCCCCCACCGAGGCCCUGCACCCCGAUACUGCCCAAGGCCCUGUGAACUGAUACAGGCAGAACCGGAACCUGAGCUCCGCCAGCCAGGGGCGGAGGCUGCAGCAGAGCUCACCAGCCCUGCACCUCAGCUCCCCACUCCCCCUGGCCCCCAGUUCCUGUGGUCCCCACCGUGCUCCUGCUGGAGGAGCAGGAAGUGGGUUUCUGUGGCUGGCCGUCAUCCCACACCAGGCUCGCCUGCCCGUGUCCACGCUCAGGGUCCCAGCGGGGACUCCGCCCUGGGUCACAGCAGCCCUUCCCAGGCGGGGGCGUCUGGGCACUGGGGGGGGGCAUUGUUUUUCUUCCUCCGUGAACAUUGCCAGCCCAACUGAUAACACACUGCAAUCUAGUUCUCUGUGUGUAUGUGUGUGCAUAAAAAUAAAAAUAAAGUAAAAAUGAAAAUACAAGGAUCUCAUUAGUAAAACAGAAUUACAGUAAACUGAGCCUGAGUAACUCUUGACUAAGCAAAACCAACUACGAGAAGUGCCCCAAACACUGCGGAAGCCGGAGCCCUGCGUGACUGAAAGUGGAGCGUUUCUUCCAAAGGCUUCCUUUAGAGGAAAGCGAAACUGAGCCGGGCCCACCUCACCCGCCGGCCCGGGGAAGCGCUCAGCGAAGCCGCCUUCCCCAGACAGAUGCAGCUCCCAAGUCCAGCCGAUCGCCGGCUUCUUCAUCCUGCUUUCUCUCUUGCCCCAUGAACACCGGCCUGGACAAUUUUCGUGCGAGUAUCCCACCUCUGCUGGUGGGCUUCGCACAAUUCACACGUUGGCUUUACUCACAGGAGCUCCACGUUUCCUUUGCGCUGAAGGACUCACCGGCUGAUCUCUGAUAGCAGACAAAGCCCGAAGGGGACAGCAGACGCCCUCCCGCACAGCCGGCUGCGGCCUCAGGAUGAACGCAGACCCCCAACAUGACUGUGCCAGACACCAGAGGCAUCCUGGCCACAGGCAAGGCCCCAACGGACCUCCCAAGGCCCAUAAGCAAAGCUAAGGGUUCUAUGAGCAGCUUUCCCUGGAGCCACGCAGAGUCCUCCCCAUCCAGGUUCCAAACGGCUCUCCCACCGCUGGCUUCCUGGACCUCCACCUCAGCUCAGCCUGGGCAGUCCUGCUGCUCCUCUCCCGAAGAGAAGAUGGGGGCCCACAGAGACCGCCGGCGAGAUCCCCUGGUCCUGUGCUGUGUGUGGCUCCCACUCACCACCUUGUGCGCUUCCCUGCCCUUGAGUCCUGGAGACACAAAUACAUGCAGCUAAUCACCUCUUUUUAGUCACUCGUUCACUUGACAAUAGUGCAUCGAUACAUACUUAUGGAGCAUUUGUUUGACGCAUUCGGUCUUCUACCAUGGCAGGACCUGGGGAACGCUGUAAACGUGACUUUGUCCUGGACCUCAAGGACCUUCCGGCCUCCCGAGAGCUUCAGCAGGUGUAUUCACCAGUUUUCCUCACUCUUACAAAACACCCAAUGCAGGCCAUUCAUGCAGAAAGAGGUUUAUGCCACUCAGUUUGGGAGCUUCAAAGCCGUGGUACCUCCAUUGGCUGAUACAGUAUAAAAAGUUGAGUGAAAGUUUGGGUUGCAGUUAAGGGGAAGGGGAAGGAUAGGAGGGAAAAUAAAACAUGUUACUGCAUGCGUGAAUGUGAUGAAACAAACUCAUUAUUCUGUAUCAUUAAAAUGCACUUGUAAAUUUUUUAAUUUGUGGGUGGAGUUUGAGAGUCCAUGCUGCAAAUAUAAAGAACCGAGCCCUGGAAUCUGUGCGUUGUGCUUCUCAGUAAAGAUGAGGGGCUGUUUGGGCAGUGGUGAGUGGUGAUUUUGGUGAUCCAAACUGGGGACACAGGGCGGUGCCCCUGAGCCUCAGCGGGCAGCUGUUAAGCGUUUGCAGCACACUGCUGGACCCUGC
rnacentral:lncRNA from 1 species